GACGAACGCUGGCGGCGUGCCUAAUACAUGCAAGUAGGACGCAGUUGCGCACGGGUGAGUAAAGCGUAGGUAACCGCCUAUUCGAGGGGGAUAAAUAUUGGAAACGAUAGCUAAUACCGCAUACUAGUAGAUGGACCUGCGUUGUAUUAGCUAGUAGGUGGGGUAAUGGCCUACCUAGGCGACGAGACAUAGCCGACCUGGGAGGGUGAGCGGCCACACCGGGGCGUAGACACGGCCCAGACUCCUACGGGAGGCAGCAGUAGGGAAUCUUCGGGAAUGGGGGGAACCCUGACCGAGCAACGCCGCGGGAGUGAAGAAGGGUUUCGGAUCGUAAAGCCCUGUUGGUAAGGAAGCGGUACUUAACCAGAAAGGGACGGCUAACGACGUGCCAGCCGCCGCGGUAAUUC
rnacentral:rRNA from 1 species